AGGCCUUCGGGUUGUAAACCCCUGUCMGGUAGGACGAAAACCUGAGGGUGAAGAGCUCUCAGGGAUGACGGUACUACCAGAGGAAGCCCCGGCUAACUCCGUGCCAGCAGCCGCGGUAAUACGGAGGGGGCAAGCGUUGUUCGGAAUUAUUGGGCGUAAAGGGCGCGUAGGCGGUGGAGUAAGUCAAACGUGAAAGCCCUCGGCUUAACCGAGGAAUGGCGUUUGAAACUGCUUCACUUGAGGGCGGGAGAGGAGAGUGGAAUUCCCAGUGUAGCGGUGAAAUGCGUAGAUAUUGGGGAGAACACCGGUGGCGAAGGCGGCUCUCUGGACCGCACCUGACGCUGAGGCGCGAAAGCUAGGGGAGCAAACGGGAUUAGAUACCCCSGUAGUCCUAGCCCUAAACGAUGGGUACUUGGUGUGGGGGGUGAUGAAGUCCCUCCGUGCCGGCGAUAACUCGUUAAGUACCCCGCCUGGGGAGUACGAUCGCAAGAUUGAAACUCAAAGGAAUUGACGGGGGCCCGCACAAGCGGUGGAGCAUGUGGUUUAAUUCGAUGCAACGCGAGGAACCUUACCUGGGUUUGAACUGCCGCGGACCGGCUCAGAGAUGGGMCUUUCCCUUCGGGGACUGCGRUGGAGRUGCUGCAUGGMUGWCGUCAGCUCGUGCCGUGAGGUGUUGGGUUAAGUYCCGCAACRAGCGCAACCCUUUGUMCCUAGUUACCA
rnacentral:rRNA from 1 species